rfam:Nomascus leucogenys chromosome 7b, whole genome shotgun sequence.
CGGUUUCCUGCUUCAACAGUGCUUGAAGGAACCG